UACGAAGGGGGCUAGCGUUGUUCGGAAUUACUGGGCGUAAAGCGCGCGCAGGCGGUCCUUCAAGUCAGAGGUGAAAGCCCAGAGCUCAACUCUGGAACGGCCUUUGAGACUAGAGGACUUGGGUACGGGAGAGGUGAGUGGAAUUCCGAGUGUAGAGGUGAAAUUCGUAGAUAUCGGAAGGAACACCAGUGGCGAAAGCGGCUUCCUGGUCCAGCACCGACGUUCAGGCACGAAAGCGUGGGGAGCAAACAGG
rnacentral:rRNA from 1 species